CAUGUAGGCGGUCUGCUAAGUUCGGAGUGACAGUCACCAGCUUAACUGGUGAAGUGCUUUGAAAACUGGCUGACUUGAGAGCGAGAGAGGGACAUGGAAUUCCGGGUGGAGCAGUGAAAUGCGUAGAGAUCCGGAGGAACACCAAAGGCGAAGGCAGUGUCCUGGCUCGUUUCUGACGCUGAGGUGCGAAAGCCAGGGGAGCGAACGGGAUUAGAUACCCCGGUAGUCCUGGCCGUAAACAAUGACCACCAGGCGUGGGAGGGAUCGACCCCUUCCGUGCCGUAGUCAACACAUUAAGUGGUCCGCCUGGGGAGUACGGUCGCAAGACUAAA
rnacentral:rRNA from 1 species